CUUAGAUCUCGACAUUUACAUAAACUUCAAGAAGCAUCUCUGUGGGUUGACAUCUAUGACAUCGUUCAUUAUUAGAUGUCACAUAUCUGACGUCGUGCCUGAAGAAGACAGCUAAGCUGUCGAAACAUUGUAGCACCAAUUGCGAAUAAUAAAAUUAUAUCAUCGUUAACCUGAUUUUUGAUUUUUCAUCACGUAUUGUAUUGACAGUAUUAUAGAUGGUUCAUUAAAUGUUUUAAAUGAAA